rnacentral:rRNA from 1 species
UCGGGAAUUUGGGCAAUGGGCGAAAGCCUGACCCAGCAACGCCGCGUGAAGGAUGAAGUAUUUCGGUAUGUAAACUUCGUAAGAAUAGGAAGAAUAAAUGACGGUACUAUUUGUAAGGUCCGGCUAACUACGUGCCAGCAGCCGCGGUAAUACGAAGGGGGCUAGCGUUGUUCGGAUUUACUGGGCGUAAAGCGCGUGUAGGCGGGUCGUUAAGUUGGGGGUGAAAUCCCGAGGCUCAACCUCGGAACUGCCUUCAAAACUGGCGACCUGGACCUAAGUAGAGGCAAGUGGAAUUGCGAGUGUAGAGGUGAAAUUCGUAGAUAUUCGCAGGAACACCAGUGGCGAAGGCGACUUGCUGGACUUAUGGUGACGCUGAGACGCGAAAGCGUGGGGAGCAAACAGGAUUAGAUACCCGAGUAGUCCCUGAGCGGGCUGGCAAGGCGCAU